rnacentral:rRNA from 1 species
GAUGAACGCUGGCGGCGUGCCUAAUACAUGCAAGUCGAGCGAACGGACGAGAAGCUUGCUUUUCUGAUGUUAGCGGCGGACGGGUGAGUAACACGUGGAUAACCUACCUAUAAGACUGGGAUAACUUCGGGAAACCGGAGCUAAUACCGGAUAAUAUUUUGAACCGCAUGGUUCAAAAGUGAAAGACGGUUUUGCUGUCACUUAUAGAUGGAUCCGCGCUGCAUUAGCUAGUUGGUAAGGUACCGGCUUACCAAGGCAACGAUGCAUAGCCGACCUGAGAGGGUGAUCGGCCACACUGGAACUGAGACACGGUCCAGACUCCUACGGGAGGCAGCAGUAGGGAAUCUUCCGCAAUGGGCGAAAGCCUGACGGAGCAACGCCGCGUGAGUGAUGAAGGUCUUCGGAUCGUAAAACUCUGUUAUUAGGGAAGAACAUAUGUGUAAGUAACUGUGCACAUCUUGACGGUACCUAAUCAGAAAGCCACGGCUAACUACGUG